GAACUGCGAUAAGUAAUGUGAAUUGCAGAAUUCAGUGAAUCAUCGAGUCUUUGAACGCACAUUGCGCCCCCUGGCAUUCCGGGGGGCAUGCCUGUCCGAGCGUCAUUGCUGCCCUUCAAGCCCGGCUUGUGUGUUGGGUCGUCGUCCCCCCCGGGGGACGGGCCCGAAAGGCAGCGGCGGCACCGUGUCCGGUCCUCGAGCGUAUGGGGCUUUGUCACCCGCUCGAUUAGGGCCGGCCGGGCGCCAGCCGGCGUCUCCAACCUUAUUUUUCUCAGGUUGACCUCGGGUCAGGUAGGGAUACCCGCUGAACUUAAGC
rnacentral:misc_RNA from 1 species